CGUGGCUUCCGUCUUUCUCCUCCUUCUUCUCUGUUCCUUUUGUUGCGGCAGCAGGAUUUGGGUGAUCUAUUCUUCCUCUUCAUCACCUGAGCAGCGGCGGUGCGUGCGGGUUUGGGUGGCGGCGCCGUGGCCGCCCAUCUUCUGCGUGGCGGCUGUUCCUUCUCGCUGCUGAAUGAACAAUACUGAACCAGUUCAUGGACAAACAGAAACUAUAUAAAUAGUUGAUUACUAUAGCAUAUGGUGAUGUGGGAACUACGUUGUAAGAGUAUUUCUUCUAAUUUGUUUACUGACCUUGGAUGUAACAUGCAUGCUUAGCAUUGAGGCAAGGAAGUUCAGGAUAGGGAAUCUAUCUACUAAGAUCCAGUUCAUAUAGGCUGUUAAUAGUCUAGAAAUAUUGAAAAUUCUUGCUUUGUUCAUAUUUUGUCAAAAAUUAUCCAAGUUCUGGUGUAUAUUUUUCUCUUACAAGUUUUCCACCUCUCAAUGCUCUAAUUGUAUGAAAAUUUUAGUAUUUUAUAUAAACAUGUCAGAUCGAAUCCUCAUUUUCUUUGAAGUCAUGAUAUCAUUUAUAUUUAUAAAGCUCAUCCUAAAUAUGAACAAUUUGGCUUAGAAACUCAUUCUCAUGUCUCAUACUGUUAUUCUUCUUUUAGCGCCAUUUUUAUCUACCAAGUUAAGACCCCUUAGUCACAUUAUUGUUUUAUUAGAUUUUAAGGAGAGCAGAAUCACCCAUUUCUAGAUGAGUUAUUUUUUUCCAACACAACAUCUCAUGUUCUCCUUGCUCCAGGAAUUGUUGAACUAUAAUAUAAGUACAGUGGUUUCACGAGUUCAUAUGACGCAGGCACGUUCGGUUGGUUGACUCAGUAUACUUACAAUCAAUCUGUCAUGAUGUUCUUAACCAUCUUACUUUCUCUCUGUCUUAAGAUAUCAUUGUUUCUUAUUGAGUGAGAUUCCGGAUAAUGAAUUAGGGGGACUUGCCACUGUCGUCUUCACAACAUGGGUUUCCUUAACCGUUUAAUUGUUCUUUCCUAAAUUACUGUUAGUGAUGGCAGGCCGUGACACAUUGUGUUGACAUAGAAAGGAUAGUGGUUGGCAAAGUUUGGGUCCUUAGUUUUGUUAUUAAAUAAAGCUCAAUGUUUCAGCUUUGUGCUCAUGAAUUAUCAAAUAUAGUACAAGAAAGUUGUGUUGGUCAGUUGUUUGAUAACAAAAAUUAUUAUUUAUCGAAAAAAUUCUCUUACCGAAAAAAAUUCUCUUAUCCAAAUAGUUCAGGUUCUACAUAUUAUUUGUCUGACUGUCUUGGACAAACUUUUUAAAAUCUUCAUGGUACUAAAUGUUUUGAUGAAAGCAUAUAUUCAUCUAGGGGUUAUCGAGUAACCUGAUCUGUAAUGUGUUUUCUUGGAUUUUGUAUUUAGAUGUUUGCUUUCAGGUGUACACAAGGCUAGAGAAGGUUCUUUUAGGGACAAUGUGGUUAUUUAAGACUGAUCUAAAAAAACACCGUCUUAUUUUCAUCAUCUGAUAUUUUUUUAGGACUUUAGGUUUUUUUUUUAACAUUCGUGGUGCUGACUCCUAUAAUUUUCUUUUAUAACAUACUCUGUAUGUAUUUUUUUCCAUGUGCUUUACUUUUAUAGGAUUUCUACGUUAUUCAAUAUUCAGGAAACAUUAUAGUUCUUGAAGUUACAUGCAGGAUCGUUUUCCCCAUCUUACCCGUUCUUCCAUGUUUUUGGACAUAUACUGCAUCCCUAUUAUUCAGUAUUUAUCAUAUUCAAUAUUUGAUCAUCCAUCUGUAAUGGGAUCCAAAAAAAUAUGCAGAAGUUCUUGGUACCACACUAUUUGUGAGACGAUGUCUCUUAAUUAACGGAACUUCUCAAUGUUUUAAAGGUUUGUUUAACCUACCUAUCAAGAAUUUAUCCUCUUUUUCCACACUUAUUAACAACGAUCAAUGUGCAAAAUGGUAUGUGUCAUUGUUCCUUCUGGUGGCCAUUUAGAUUCCUGCAUAGAAUACAAUCAUAUUUUGCGUAUUAGUGACCAUGCAGAAGUUCUGGUUGUUUGUUAUUUAACCUUUACAUUGUAGGUUCACUUUUCACCUAUCCUUUUCUAGACCUUUUCUUCUGGACGUCUGUCUACCUGUUUGUUGCACAGCUAUGGAUCAUGUCAUUUUUAUUCAUCCCUACUCAUUUGGGUAUUAGCUUCCUUCCAUUAUUAGGUUAUGUUUCCUUUCCUAUCCAAGCACACGAGGACACAUUCUCUUUGCGGGCAAUAGCAGCUGAUGGGGCCCUUCCUAAUUAAGCCAAGGACUUAAUUUUGCAGCAUCAACAACUAGGUGGAGUUCAGGUUGAUAUGGUUCAGUUACAGAUUGUAGUUUCGCCAGAACCAACCAGCGACAAGGCUGAACUCUUGCUAUGGAUCUGAUUAAAAGCUCAGCCUGGCCAUUUGUGCAUAAUGUAUGUUUUGCUUCUCUCCUCCUGUACCAUAGAAAUUUACCUAUCUCUUAAUCUAAUACAUGUAACCAAGAUGGAGAAGAUGAUGUGAUUAUAGACAAGCUCUUUAAAAUUUGUAAUAUACUUCCUGGAAUUCA